GAAGGAUCGAUGAUGCAUUAGUUUAAAACUGCUUUAUCUAUCUGAUAUUUCCGAUUCGGAAUUGAAGAUACUCUUCUAGCUCCUGAGAUCCUUU